UUGAAUCAUCAUUUUCAUUGGCAUUUUUAUGGUUGAAUAAUUUGUUAGAAUCAGGUUGGUGGAUUUUUUUUUGUUCCAAUGAUGAUGUCCUGGUAUUCAAAGAAAGAGGAGUUAGCUGGAGUCACACCUUUCCUGGAGAAUACGUUGUUGUGAUUGGUUCUAGUGCAUCUAGGCAGUUUGUUUAAUUUUCCAUAUGGAUUUCUCUUCUUUUCUUUGCUGCGGAGGGAAAUAAAGAAAGAAAAGCAUAAG